GACGAACGCUGGCGGCGUGCUUAACACAUGCAAGUCGAACGGUGAAGCGCCUUCCUUUUUGGUGGGUGUGGAUGAGUGGCGAACGGGUGAGUAACACGUGAGUAACCUGCCCCCUUCUUCUGGAUAACCGCAUGAAAGUGUGGCUAAUACGGGAUAUUCUGGGUCUGUCGCAUGAUGGGUCUGGGACAGAUAUUGUUUCGGUGGGGGAUGGGCUCGCGGCCUAUCAGGUUGUUGGUGGGGUGAUGGCCUACCAAGGCGGUGACGGGUAGCCGGCCUGAGAGGGUGGACGGUCACACUGGGACUGAGACACGGCCCAGACUCCUACGGGAGGCAGCAGUGGGGAAUAUUGCACAAUGGGCGCAAGCCUGAUGCAGCGACGCCGCGUGAGGGAUGGAGGCCUUCGGGUUGUGAACCUCUUUCGCCAGUGAAGCAGGCCUGCCUCGUUUGUGGGUGGGUUGACGGUAGCUGGAUAAGAAGCGCCGGCUAACUACGUG
rnacentral:rRNA from 1 species